AGGGUGUGCCUGGAGGUGGCAGAGUGUGCCGACGCGGGUGUGAGCGGGUGUGCCAGCGAGGGUGGGCAAAGGGAUGAGCGUGGCAAGGAUAUUGAACAUAAUUUUUCUGUGCUGUAUGCUGCGUGAGGUCUGACCAUCACUGGUGCUCAAAAAUGCUUGUGGAAAGAACUAGCACAUCCCUGAGGUAGCCCAGACACUCCUUCUCUGGCCCCGGGAAAAGGUUCUUUGAAUCACCGAAGAGGAUCAUCUCUGCCUUCUUUGGACACAUGGCAAAUAAAACCCACACACUCACGAGAUGAGAGUUCCAGCUUUAGGGAAGGCAACAGUUCUUUUGGGCUGAAGAUCACAGACUUGUUUAUCAUCUUCGGGGGUAAAAUGAACAGGUGCAUGAGACCCUCCAGGGUUCUGUCCUUCCUGAGAUUCUCCAGGUUGACCACAGCUGGCUGACCACAGCUGGCAGGCCCGCAUAAAAUCCCCAGAGAACAAGGCCGUUGGUCAUUGGCCUGGCAGCCCAUACAGUUCCUCUGGGUUUCUGACUGGCUUCUGGAGCAGGAGGGGACUGACCACUAUGACCCAGCUUGUCAGCCUCCUGGGAAUCUUCUCUGCCUGCCUUAGACUGGUGCCUCGACCUGGAAAAGUGCUCAUAGCAGAGAAAUGGACAAGGGCCAGAAGGAGCAGGAAUUGUCAUCACAUCCUCAUCAUCAUGAAAUUGAUACCGAUAGCAAUGAUGCAGUGGCAACAGACUCUUGCCUGGCAUUUAAUAAGUGCUACUCACUAUGCUAACGCCUUAUAAGCAUUCUUCUUUUUUUUUUUUUUCCAGUCCUUACAGCACUCUUAUGAGCAGCUACUGUCAUCCCCAUUUAUCAGAUGAAAAAAACCAAGGCACAGAAAAUCUUCAGCAAUUUGCUCAAGAUCAUUAGUUGAGUUGGGAUUUAACACCAAAGAAUCUGACUCCAGAGCUCCUAGCCUUCAAUGUUACUCCAUGGAGAGGUGCAGAAGGCCAGCUGGUACCCUGCCCAUCCAUGGAAGGACACGGUAGAAAAUGAGAGGCCAGCAGAAGGCCAGCACCUGUUCAGUGCUCUAACCCCCGCCCCCACCCAGGUCUCUCCAGCUCCCAGCAGGGAAGACCACCUGCUCCUCGGCAGGUUGGAGUGCUGAGGAGUCCCAGAAAGUGCAGAUGGGGGGGGGGGUGUUGGGUAGACGAGCUGGGGUGCCCCUUCCCCUAACCCUGCCCCUGGUCUCACAAAUAACGGCCUUUGGAUUACUGCCUGUGUUGGAUGCCUGGAUCACUGCUGUCUGGAGUCUAAUCUCCAUUCUGGUGGUUUUGGUUGCUAUGGUAAUUGAAUUCACUUAAAGUUGUCUCCAAGC
rnacentral:lncRNA from 1 species